AGGGUUUGGCAUUGAACAACCCUCUCAUUUGUUAAACUGUCACAGUACUGGCUACCAUUAGCAGUGGUGCUCCUGAGGUUGCUGAGCUGCUGAUCCUUGGAUUGGGAUCACAACUAUGGAGGACGGGCUGGCAUCCUCAACUGGAUGAUGGCCCCCAGGAGUGUCCUUUUAAUUCACCACGGCUGGUAGAAUGCUGCUCCAGGUUCCCACACAAUUGUAGUUGUGUAGACUGCACUUUCAGUCCCAAAAGCAGGACUCAAUCUUUCACAAAAAAAUGUAUUUUCAGACAGAUUGCACUCUAUCUUUUCCUCCAAAAAUGUAUGUAGAUAAAAAGCGUAUUUUAAAGAUUGAAAAAAAACUAAAAACCUGACCAUGAUAUUGAUUGAAGACUAAGACCAUUUUGUAAGAUAGCACAAUUUGUAAAUUAGAUAUAAAAACUGUUUCAGUAUCGUACCUAAUAAUAUGCAGAGCUAUUACUGUGUAAGGCACAAUUGCUGCAAAAUUGAUGGCUGACCUUUCAGUUGCCUAAAGCCCGAGCUCUAAAAUUCAUUUCAUAUUGCUCCCUUUCCUGUCUGAGAAGCUUUCCUCCUAUAGAACACUUCUUAAAAACAACUUCUUUGACCAACCCUUUGUUCAUCUGAUCUAAUAUUUCCUUACGUGGCUUAGUAUCAUAUUCUGUUUUGUCAUGUUCCUGUGAAAUGUCUUGAAAUGUUUUAUUAUGCUAAAGCCUUAUAUAAAUAUAAACUAUUGUUGUUGUAACAUGGUAAUUAUACAACACCACUGUUCUAAAAUUGGUAGCUGCAGAAUGCAAUGCGCAGUUGGCAAGAUCUGAGUUAUGCUGUGCUACAAGUUGUAAUUGGCAUGCCACAGACAUGUGCAACAUUCUGCUAUCUCUACAAAUAAGCUUUAAUCUUAGUAGAGACUAAGCUAUAGAGCCUGCUUUCUCACAGCAUCGAACAUAUUCAAAAUAUGUUUACAAUGUAAUCCAAAAUUCCAAUUAACUGACUGUGCAUUGUUUAAAUUUGUUUUUGCUCCUAGAUUGGAUUUAAAGUCCUCCAAACUGAGUGAUGUGACACAGCCUCCUGGAUGAUCUGGAGGAUUUCUUGGAGCUUGGUUACGGACUGCAGGAUUAUAAUGUGAUGUGCACCCAAGAUUCCUUCACAGGAAAAUGACCUUAUAAUGUAACUGCAUUCUAAACAAUCACUGCAGAUCUGGGGAUCCCAAAAUGUCAUCUUUGCAAAGAAAUCCUUUGACUUACCUUCCUUUGACUUUACAGAAGAUUACAACUUGGGCAUCAUAAUGCUUCAGUACAAAAAAAAUGAAACAAAUCAUCUCAAAUCUGAAUAAUUUGGUUUUAUUCUAUAUAAACAAUUCCAGAAAAAUGGACGUUGUGCUCAGAAGCCAUUAUGAAGACAGCAUUUCAAAAUGAGUCACAAUAAGACAGAGUUCUAACUCGCCACUGUAAAGAUCCCAGGUUAAGCUGCAGAAACAAAGAAAGUAGACAGCCAUCUGACAUUAUCACACAUUAAUCCCUUCCAAGCACAGUUCAUUAAUCAGCAACUGGUAUACUGUUAAAAUUGAGUUGCAGUGAUCUAGGAUUGACUAAAGAAAGAUGAGCAGGAGCAAAUGCAUUUUGUACAGACAGCAGAGGUCAAAGUUCUGGAGAGAAUAAGUUUGUGUUGUAGUUCCCUACAUAGGACAUGGAUGAAGACAUCUAGGAACUAGAUGAUAACUUUGUGCCUGAAAUUGGAUUGUCUGCCAAAGAUCCUCUGCAUCAUGUUGGACUGUGCGUAGGACUGUACUUCCAACUUUUAAAAUUAUUGUUUAUGCCAUUAAAACAAUGCAAUACACAAUGGGACAUAUACUCAGUUUUAUGCAAUCUGCAACAGUUGCUAAGUUCAGAAGCCUAUGGCAUACUGGUACAUUUAAAUUCUGGGCAAAACCCUCUAUACAGACUUGCAACAUUUGAACUAAGUACAAAAAAGAGACUUAAGCAGCAUCAAAGUUCUUCAGCAAUCUAUUCUCCCACAAAUCAAUAUGAGUGAGAAGUUAGUGCUAUGCAAAAGAUAAACAGAAUUUGAACAUUGGAAAAACAUGUCUUGGAGCAGAAGGCUUGAGGGAAUGAAUGGUUUACUCCUACUGCUAUUUCUUGCAGCAUAAAUGUACCAGUUAGUUGACCCAUGACAAUAAACAUAUUGAGAGUUAAGUUGCAAAACUGUUUAAGAACAUGCCAAAGUAAUGCAACAGUACUUCGUCACACCGCUUCCCAAAUAAUAGCAAUAACUCUGACUCUGAAAAUACAUCCAACUUAAAGAAGAAGAAACUUUAAAGUUUGAGGAAAGGUUGAAAAAGAUAAUUGUUUGGUAUCACUUAACAUUUAAUCAAAUAGUAUGGCUUAGGAAAUAAAAUUCUUAGCCAGUGGCAGAUCACCCAAAGGUCAUUUACAGUGGAUAAAAUUAAAGCACUGAAAUAGUUGGUGAACUGAAUAGCUUGAUUUCUUCAAAAUCAUGAGAAAUAAAAAAUUCAUGAAUUCUUGUGCACUUCCAAUAUUUUUUGCUUGUUUAAGGCAAACAUUUUCCAUGCUUGCACAACUUCAAUGACACUGUUUUAUUCUAUCGUCUGUGCAAUAAAAGGAUAGACAGGUUAAUGUUGUUCCAAUGAUUAUCAGCUCUACUAGAAAUUUGAUUAAUGCUUCAUGUAUGUACGUAGUCUAAUUCACACAAAAUGUGAUUUCAUUUGUCAUUCACAGGAAUGUUUUAUUCCUCAUGUCACCCAAAAAGAAACAGAAUAUGAAUUUAUAAAGCACCUUUCACAACUUCAGGAUAUUUCAAACAAUAUAUCGCCAACUAAUUUCCUUUUCAAGUGUUGUGACCUUUGUAACAAGAAACAUAGUAGCCAAUUAGCACUAUGCAAUGUCCACAAAGAACUUAAUCAGUUUAAUGAUAUUGUUUGACGGAUAUAUAUCAAACAGUAUACAAGGUCUUCCAAUUGUCUCCAAAUAUCAUUGAGGAAUCUUUUAUGUCCAUCUGAGAAGAUGUUAAGGUAUUUUAUUAUGUCUCUCUGAAAGAUGGCACUUCCCAAAGUGCAUUGCUUUACAAUACUGCACUGGAGUGCUGGCUUAGACAUUUAAAAAAAAAUCAUGUGACUUGUAUAAUGUGGUGUAAUGUUACUCAUGGCCUGGUCAAAUUAAUGCAAAAAGUCAAUUUUUCUUCAGUUGAUAUUCACUAUUAUAACUCCAAUAGCAAAAAUAAGACUAAUAUGGUAGCCAA